AGCAGCAUCCUUUGUGUGUUGGCUCGUGU
rnacentral:piRNA from 1 species